rnacentral:rRNA from 1 species
AGCACCACGAACGGGUGGAGUCUUGUCGGUUUAAUUGGAUUCAACGCCGGAAAUCUUACCGGGACCGACAGCAAUAUGAAGGCCAGGCUGAAGACUUUGCCGGAUUAGCUGAGAGGUGGUGCAUGGCCGUCGUCAGUUCGUACUGUGAAGCAUCCUGUUAAGUCAGGCAACGAGCGAGACCCACGCCCACAGUUGCCAGCGUACUCUCUGGAGUGACGGGUACACUGUGGGGACCGCCGCUGCUAAAGCGGAGGAAGGAAUGGGCAACGGUAGGUCAGUAUGCCCCGAAUAUCCCGGGCUACACGCGAGCUACAAUGGUUGGUACAAUGGGUAUCUACCCCGAAAGGGGACGGGAAUCUCCUAAAACCAAUCUUAGUUCGGAUUGAGGGCUGCAACUCGCCCUCAUGAAGCUGGAAUCCGUAGUAAUCGCGUUUCAACAGAACGCGGUGAAUACGUCCCUGCUCCUU